rnacentral:rRNA from 1 species
AUUGAACGCUGGCGGCAUGCUUUACACAUGCAAGUCGGACGAGUGGCGAACGGGUGAGUAACGCAUCGGAACGUACCGAGUAAAGGGGGAUAACUGUUCGAAAGGACAGCUAAUACCGCAUACUAUUCGAGCGGCCGAUGUUGGAUUAGCUGGUUGGUGGGGUAAAGGCCCACCAAGGCGACGAUCCGUAGCGGGUCUGAGAGGAUGAUCCGCCACACUGGGACUGAGACACGGCCCAGACUCCUACGGGAGGCAGCAGUGGGGAAUUUUGGACAAGGGGCGCAAGCCUGAUGCAGCCAUGCCGCGUGUCUGAAGAAGGCCUUCGGUUUGUAAAGGACUUUUGUCAGGGAGGCGGUACCUGCAGAAUAAGCACCGGCUAACUACGUGCCAGCAGCCGCGGUAAUAC